CCCCCGCUGGCUGACCGGUGGGGCGCGCAGUAAGCCGGUGACGCUGGCACGGAGAGCAGCAUGAUGAUCAGCAGCAGCAGCAGGACGAAAACUAUACCGAGCUAGCGAGAGAGAGAGAGAGAGAGAGAGAGCGAGAGAAUAUGUGUGUAUGUGAGCGAAAUAGGAAUGCAUCACAGGAGGCCCUGGCGUUCAUACCGGCUAGCACGAUGGCUGUGUGUAUGUGAGAAAGAAAGAGAGAGCAAGAGAGACACUCGUACUAGUGAGAGUGACAGCAGCACAACAACCAACAGGGCAAGGGAUGGAAAGGACACGGGAGAUGACAUGGAGAGAGAGAGAGAGAGUGAGCGGAUUGAAACAAAAGGGCGAGAGAAAUCCGAUUGGUACGCGGGGAUUGCCGUCCCGCACAUCAUACCCCCGCGGAGGAGAAGGACCGAGGCGACCGCAUGAUGAUGUUGGUAACGAAUCGACCAUCUCCAAUAAUGAUUUUUAAGUGUCUGUCUGCAGCCGCCAUGAGCAUGACUAGCCGCCUUCUCCACCCCUCCACCGGGAGAGUAAGCGAAUAGGCGAAUCAAUAAACAAAUCUAGCGUGGCGAUAGUGGCAGGAGAUCGAAAGGGAGAGCACACACGAUAUCAUCUAGCAUGAGAUAAACAGAUGCCAGUCGAGCGGCCACAAUCGGAGAAGGCAUAAGAAUUAGUGGAAGGCGUUCAGAGAGAGAGAGGCAGAGAGGCAGAGAGGCAUGUGGAAGAAUAGCUGGGGACUAGGAGAUAGUGAAACAUGAUCGCAAUGUUUAGCCAUGCGAGAUGGCGGUAAGGAGGAAGAAGUAGAGACAGACAUAAACUCUAGCAGCCGGACGAUAUAUAAAAGAAUAUGACAAUGGGGUUGCGCACGACGAGAAACUGCGAUGAAGGCGAACAUCAGCGUAGAGCGAGCAUAUGCGGGACGAAUAUGGAUUGGAAUAGUAAAUAACCGAAGCAGCAGAAGCAUUCGAACGAAACAAUUAUGCGAGAAGCGACAAGCCAAGAGGGAAGAGGCCUAGAGCGAAUGGGAGAGAAAGACAGCACCACCAUGCACGAGAAUAACCCUUUUCCAUGACUCUCGUCGCCUGGCUAUGACCGUGACAAGGACGAGAAGGAGGAGGUGGAGGAGAAGGAGGAGUAGGAGAUUGACACUUCUCGGACGGGACGGGACGGGAGGAGAGGGCGCUGCGAAUGUUAAAUUGAUUGUACCAUCUUGGCUCCCUAGGCCUUUCCCAUACAUGUCCAUACAAUACAUUUAUGCCCGUGA